rnacentral:rRNA from 1 species
AUGUCUCCGCUCGCCGACCUUCUCAGCCUCGACCUGUCCGGCUGCACCGGCAAGAUCAUCGCCGAGUACAUAUGGGUCGGCGGCACAGGGAUGGACGUCAGGAGCAAAGCCAGGACGCUGCCCGGGCCCGUGGAGGACCCCAGCAAGCUUCCAAAAUGGAAUUUUGACGGCUCCAGCACCGGCCAAGCCACGGGUGACGACAGCGAAGUCAUCCUCUGCCCUCAAGCCAUCUUCAAGGACCCAUUCAGGAGGGGGAACAACAUCCUGGUCAUCUGUGACUGCUAUGCGCCUAACGGAGAGCCGAUUCCGAGCAACAAGCGGUACAACGCGGCGAGGAUAUUCGGCCAUCCUGAUGUCAAGGCUGAAGAACCAUGGUAUGGGAUUGAGCAAGAGUACACCCUUCUUCAGAAGGACACCAACUGGCCCAUUGGCUGGCCACUAGGGGGUUACCCUGGUCCUCAGGGACCUUACUACUGCGCCGCGGGUGCGGAGAAAUCUUACGGGCGCGACAUCGUCGACGCGCACUACAAGGCCUGCCUCUACGCCGGCAUCAACAUCGGCGGCAUCAAUGCAGAAGUCAUGCCAGGACAGUGGGAGUUCCAAGUCGGCCCUUCCGUCGGCAUCUCGGCCGGCGACGAGCUCUGGGCGGCUCGCUACAUCCUGGAGAGGAUCACUGAGAUUGCCGGUGUCGUCGUCUCCUUCGACCCCAAACCGAUCCCGGGAGAGUGGAAUGGUGCUGGUGCCCACACAAACUACAGCACCAAGUCGAUGAGGAGCGAGGGUGGGUACGAGGUGAUCAAGAAGGCGAUCCAGAAGCUGGAGGCGCGGCACAUGGAGCACAUCGCCGCCUACGGGGAGGGCAACGAGCGCCGGCUCACCGGCCGCCACGAGACCGCCGACAUCAACACCUUCGUAUGGGGCGUGGCGAACCGCGGCGCGUCGGUGCGGGUGGGCCGCGACACCGAGAAGGAAGGCAAGGGCUACUUCGAGGACCGGAGGCCGGCAUCCAACAUGGAUCCCUACGUCGUCACCUCCAUGAUCGCCGAGACCACCAUCCUCAGCAAGGCCGGUCUCUCCAAUGGCAAGUAG